UACUGAGGGUGCAAGCGUUAAUCGGAAUUACUGGGCGUAAAGCGAGUGUAGGCGGCUAUAUAAGUCGGAUGUGAAAUCCCCGGGCUCAACCUGGGAAUUGCAUUCGAUACUGUAUAGCUAGAGUUUGAUAGAGGUAAGUGGAAUUCCAGGUGUAGCGGUGAAAUGCGUAGAUAUCUGGAGGAACAUCAGUGGCGAAGGCGGCUUACUGGAUCAAAACUGACGCUGAGGCUCGAAAGCGUGGGGAGCAAACAGG
rnacentral:rRNA from 1 species